UGUGUGAGUGUGGUUAGGAUAGGGGAAAACCUCUCUGGCCUUGUUUGUAUUUCCUUAAACAAUCACUAC